AAAGCUGGGCUGCAGUUCCAGAGAUGCAGAUGCAGAUGCAGAUAGGGACAGCAGUCUGAGCGAGGAAGAUGCCCCCCAAAAGACAGUGUUGAGAAAACACAGGGCAGCUCUUCAGGACUCCAGCUGAGACAGCAGCUGGUUUCUUUCUCCAGAAAGCAGGCCAUACAUUACAAGGCUUGAGAGAUAGAAGAUGACUGCCAGGGGAGACAAUGCUAUAAUAAUUAUUCAUUAUCAAUAAU